GUCUGAUGCCCUCAUCCUUGAGGGGCAUGAGGGUAGUCAGUAGCCUGAUGUCCCUCUUGAUGGCACUUCGGACAUGUUGGAAUGGCUUGUGAGG
ensembl:miRNA Mir327 microRNA 327